GACGAACGCUGGCGGCGUGCCUAAUACAUGCAAGUCGAGCGGACUAAUGGGAGCUUGCUCCCAUUAGUUAGCGGCGGACGGGUGAGUAACACGUGGGCAACCUACCUGUAAGACUGGGAUAACUUCGGGAAACCGGAGCUAAUACCGGAUGACAUAAAGGAACUCCUGUUCCUUUAUUGAAAGAUGGCUUCGGCUACCACUUACAGAUGGGCCCGCGGCGCAUUAGCUAGUUGGUGAGGUAACGGCUCACCAAGGCGACGAUGCGUAGCCGACCUGAGAGGGUGAUCGGCCACACUGGGACUGAGACACGGCCCAGACUCCUACGGGAGGCAGCAGUAGGGAAUCUUCCGCAAUGGACGAAAGUCUGACGGAGCAACGCCGCGUGAGCGAUGAAGGCCUUCGGGUCGUAAAGCUCUGUUGUUAGGGAAGAAUAAGUGCUAGUUGAAUAAGCUGGCACCUUGACGGUACCUAACCAGAAAGCCACGGCUAACUACGUGCCAGCAGCCGCCGUAAUAC
rnacentral:rRNA from 1 species